GUUUACUGGCCUUGUUUUCCAGACAUCCUGUAUGUCAGUAAGUUAUUUAUAUUCUAUGGUGUUCCAGAAUAUUCUAUAACAAUACUGAUGAAUAGGGUGUAACAAUUAUUUUUUAAGUCUGAAUUAGUCUUGGUUUUUCCAGAAUCUUCUUUUUUGAUUCUUGGUGAUACAUAAACGUUCUGGAACCUUCUAUGAUGCUUUAAAUAGGAAUUUGUCUGAGGUUAGGGAAGAACCUAUAGUAAGAUCUUAUUGAAAAACUUUCCUGUAUUUCUUAAUAACAAAAUAUUACAAGUUGGGACAUUUAACAGUUGAAGGAUUUACAUUAUCAUUAUGAAUUUAAAGAAAGGAUUUAUAUUCUUUGAAUGUACUAAAUUCAGUUUGGACUGUGUGAAAUAGAAAGUGACUUCUUAAAAAAACAUUUUUGUAGUUUUGACUACUUUUAAUACCUACAUAUAUUGUGAAAUAUUAUGGAAUUUUUACUGAUUGGAUUUAAAUUUGACCAGGACAGAACUUGGAUUAUUAUUUCAUAUUAGAUUGGAUUUUAUGGCUAGUUAACAUUUUGAAGGGGCAUAAUUUGUGCUUUACGACCAGUCUACACCAUAUUUUGCUGGGAUAAAGUCAAAAUUUGACAGAACUAGAACUUUAGUAAAAGCACAUGAUUGUUUCCAAGCGUAAUUUAAAGAGAAAGGUGAAUUGGUAUGCAAUAUUCAGCCAUGUAACAGGGACAUCUUGUGAUACAAGUUAAUGCUUUUAUUUGGAAUACAGAAAAGGAAAUGAACAAAAAUCGUACAAAAAAUGUAUGUAAUUAUAAUAAAUCAAUAACAAAUAAUCAA